rnacentral:lncRNA from 1 species
AUGUGCCUCCCCUCCGCCCCCACCAGGCACCUUAUUUUAAAAAACAAAAACAAAAACACCUUUUAUUUUUUUAAAAAAUCUAACCUUGGAAGUUUGCUCGAGGUAGGACCUGCUUCUCCAUGUUGGUGUGGAGCUUGGCGGACGCUGUUGAGAGGCCACAUAGAGCUCCUCCUCUGUUCCCUGAGAGCUCCCAUGGGACCAGCUCACACAUCUGGGGUGAGCCCAGGAUUGCUGCAGUGCCACUUAAAGAAAGUUUGUGGGCCCUACAGGAACUCAGGCCAGGCAGGGCUGCCAUUCUCUGGCCCUCCAGGUCCGGACUGUUGAUGUAGGACGGCUGAGCCCAAUCCCUGCCACCCAAGGACAGACCCCUCUUGUCUCCUCUGUCAGGGACAGGAGAAGAAGAGGAAUAAAGUGCCUGGAUAUGUGCAUUCAUCAAGUGUCCUGCAGAUGCAGCCUCCGACCAGAAGAGCUGAAGAGACAAAAUUUUUCACUAAGUGAUAUUUUUGAUGCAGUCUAAGGGUUAGUAAACAACCUGACUUGUUGCCUGUUUUUAUAAAUAAAGUUUUAUUGGUACACAGACAUGCCCAUUUGUUAGUGUAUUUUCUCUUACUUCUUGGGAAUUGCAGUGUCAAGUGGUUGUGGCAGGGACCAUGUAGUCUACAAAGCUAAGAAUAUUCACUGUCUGGCCUUUUGCAGACGAAGUUCAGACUCCAAUGGCCUUCAUCCAGUUCCCUACAUAUCUACUCAGUACCUACUCUGGGCUGAGAAAUGGUCAGAGUGUUGUUUGUUUGUUUUGGGUGCUGGUAUCGGAACCCAGGGCCUUGCACAUGCUAAGCACAAGGUUGGAGGAGCCACUGGGCUCCAGCCUCAGGCACCUGGAUGAACUUUAUAGUGAUACUAAUUUGAAAACAUGCUCAGGGUCUGAUUCAGUUAGUGUUAAGGGGAGGUGUGUGGAAGGCAGGAAGACAGAGAAUUUGGGGCCAGAUACCACCGGGUGUGGGCGGGUUGUGCUGUGAUUAUCCCAG